rnacentral:misc_RNA from 1 species
GGGUGGCGUGCCCGAAGUGCCUUCAAGCUCCUUCAGAUAGAUGAGGAGUUUAAUAUCUUUGAAGGUGCGAAGCGCGUUGUGGAUUUAUGUGCUGCUCCAGGCAGCUGGAGUCAGGUUUUAAGCCGGAAGUUAUAUCUCCCAGCAAAGCUGUCACCGGGUACCAAGGAUGAUGAUCUACCACUUAUCGUGGCUAUUGACUUACAGCCUAUGGCUCCAAUUGAAGGUGUUAUU